AUCUUAAAAAAAUGUUUUUAUUUUCGUGACUUAAAAUUUCGAUGGGUCAGAAAUUCAACAUAAAAUUUGGAGUGAACUCGUUCACUCAACUCCUCGUUCAUUCAACUCCUGAAUUUAAAAGUUUGCUGGAAACUGGAUUCUCCGUGCCCUUCCCUCUGACCGGAGCUCUGUCGAAAGAAGCUAUAAGACCAGCAUUCCCCUCUAGAGUGUUCAUACUCUCUCACACAUAUACAUGCUAGCUUUAGCUAGUUUAAUUUAUUUGUUUUACUUGGCAACUACAUUACAGGUUGUAAAAUAUACAAUUACUGAAUUUGUGGGUUUGUAGAUUAUUCAAGUUGUAUUUCACAAGUUAUAGCAGUAAAUGCAACAGAGUGUAAGUACCUACCUUUUUCUGAGCAUAAGAAGAUUGUAAAAAAAAAACUAACUAAAUACUGUUUUUAUUUUAUUAUUCAGACUACAAAAGUGUUAAAUGUUUAUUUUGUCUUCUGACUUCUAUUGCAGAAAUUAAUUUUAACAAUUUUACCCUACUCUUUUAUGAAAUCAGUUCAAGUAGUAUUUAUGUAUUUUGUUAUUCUCACGUUCACCUAAGUAUAAUGAUGUUUUACAGUCUAAGAUCAGAAUACUUAAAACCACAGAUAUUUAUGUUUAUUUUAUUUUUUUUACUAAAAAAGUAUUUCUUGUGUAUUUCUUUCUAAGCAGACUACACCUUUAAUGCAGAAUCAACCUGAGUCUCUCAUUACUAGAGCGGUUUAUUAACAGUGAAGAUCCAGGACCAGAAUCAGAGUGAACAGGAACUCUCCUGCAGUCCUCCUGAACCUCCAUUGUCACUGAGGAGGUGGUGGCCAUUCGCCAUAAGGACCUUCAGCUUCCAAAAACCCCUGAGGACCUGGAGGUGGAGUCCCGUGGGUUUGCAGGGCUGGCACAGCACAGAGUUUUUCCUCAAAGCUGCAGGUGCCAUCGAUGGAUGCCACAUCAGGAUCAAAUCUCCUGGUGACCCUGGCAUUGUCACUAGGUAGAUUACGACGACGUGUCAGGUUAAUGGGAGACACCUGUGUGGGAGGGCGUGGCUACGCACAGAGCAGGGAGGUUUUUCAUUUUUUAAGGAAAAUCGGCGUGGAGAGAAGAAGAACGCUUGGAGCCUGAGGUAUGGUCCCGGACGCUUGGACGCAGCCUGCGGGGCGAGAGGCGGGAGAGAGCCUGAGAUGCACCACGAGCAGACGGACAGAAGACUACGAGCGCGACAUACGGUGAAUGGGCUUCACCCCUCCCAAAGUUAAGUGCCCCAGGAUUACCCAGGAUCAUUUUUAACAGCCUGCAGCUCUUAUUCAAUAAUUCAAUAAUUUAAUUAAGUGAGUUUUUGUUAAAAACUUUUAGGACAGUGCAUGCAUUAUCUUACAUUUAUGGAUCAUUUUUGGUCAUGCAGCAUCCGUCCACAGCCAACCCUGUAAACCGUGAAGAUGGACGAUGCAGUCUACAGUGAAGAUGCAUCCUGAAACUCUGCAGACCAUCCUGCAAGAUGUUCCAAUCACCACCCAGAAAGUUCCAUCCCCGCGUCUCAGUUGAAGCAUCUCAUCCAUGUCGACCAUCUUUGUAAAUAGUGUUACAAUGAAUGACGAUUACUGUGUUGGAUUUAUACCUUUAUUUAUAUUAAAGAAGCAAACAUUUUAAUGAAUCAAAUAUAAACUUUAUUUAUUCUCAGAAAUCAAAUGUGGUUAUUUGUUGGCAUUUCUUUCCAGGAGACUAUAAAGUUGGUCAAAAGUCUCCCUCCUCUCUCGUGCGCUCUGCUCUUCUGCCUCAUGUCCUCUCUGAUCAGGUCUAGAAGCUCAUCACUAGUCGCAUUUCCAUUAACUCUGAAAUUCUGCAAAUUGGAAUUUUGAUACAUUCUCCUAAUGGAAACCACAAUUCAAAAAAAAAAAACGUUUUUGCCCUUAGAGGGGGUGGUAUU